UAAAGGAUACUAUUUGAAGCAUCUCAGAAGAGUUCUCACCAUCUUGGAAUGUCAUUUAGGCUGGUGUGGAUAAAGGCCAAAUUGUCUGACAAAAAUGAUCUCAGAAAUGGCAUGAGGUCUGAUUUGUUUCCUAGAAGAUGGCCACUUUUGGGAUCUAUCUCCAGCAAAUAUAAGCAGGGAAUAUUAAAUGAAGUAGUAAGAGGAAAAUCACCAUCAGUGAGAAAUGGACUGGUAUCACCUUUCACUAUGGAAAAUCAUUGUCCUUCAUCUAAGUUAACAGAUCAAAGUUAAUUCACUCAUCCAAAAUACAUUGAAGAAGAGGCCGGGGUCUCUUAAGUAAAGAUGCUGAAAUGUCAUCAUAUGUAUAUGCAGUACAUGUUAUUCCAAACUUUUUCAAGGAGCCAUCUGGCAAUUUAGACAAAGGAAAAUGGACUAAAAGAGAGAACUACAUAGAAAUGAUACAUUUCAUGGGACACAAAAUGCCACUACAGUCCUCUGAUUGAGAGAUUAAGGAGGCCAGAUGAUGGCUAGUUUUGAUUUGAGUUCAUUUCAUGGGGCACCCAAUUUGUCUGCAGAAUUGCCCCAUGGUUUUUUUCCUCUUAUUUCCAAAUGGAUAAUUAUGAUAAAUAUUCUUAGCAGUUGGUAUAAAAUUACCUUGGUUCUCUGACCUGAGUAAGAGUCAUUAAAGUAAGAGAAUUCAAGUACAAGCACCUGAAACUGUGCUUCCCUUUUCAUAUAAUCAAAUGAGUAAUAAGGGGUAAUAUCAAAUUCCUGAAAAAAUUUCAGUUUCAAGUCUCAAAGACUUGAGAAAUGCAGAGAUAACAGCAUCUGUCACAUCUCACUUACUUCACUUCCCUGGCUUCUGCAAAAAUAUGUGGACCAUGAUGGCAGAUGAUGGACUACCAUAAAAUUAACCACAUGGUUCUAUCAAUCAGUUACUGCACUGGAUGUAUUAUUUUUACUGCAAGAGAUCUACACAGCCUCUGGUACUUGACAUCCAACAUUGAUUUGGUGAAUACUUACCCCUGGAAAUCUCAUCAGUGGGGGUGCAAAAGCGCUUCAACUUUCAAUAGCAAAUACAGCAAUAGAUUUUACUUUAUGAUCUAUGUUAACUGCUUUGUUCCACAUCGCAAUAAAAUCUAUACAGUUUAAACAUCUAAA